GUGGCGUUGUCUUCGGUGCUUCGGCACUGGC
rnacentral:sRNA from 1 species